GGUUUUGGGACAGCGGCAAUCAUGGCGCCACCCGUGAGAUACUGCAUCCCCGGCGAACGUCUGUGUAACUUGGAGGAGGGCAGCCCGGGCAGCGGCACCUACACCCGCCACGGCUACAUCUUUUCGUCGCUUGCCGGUUGUCUGAUGAAGAGCAGCGAGAAUGGCGCGGUAAAGGAAGCGGCGUGCCAUCUCCUCUCUGUUUUUCCCUUAGGCUGCCCUUGAGUUCCAGUCCUUAGGCAUGGGCACUGCGGACGCGUCUUUAGUGUCUCAGUGGUACAAUGUUGGUCUCUUAGUUUCUUCUAGCCGUAUCGCCGCUGUGGUGCACUUAGCCACCACACACUAGUUGUGUUGAUCUCGCUUGGUUGUGCUGCUGACCCUCGGGGAGGGGAAGUUGGGACAAAAGCAGAUGCGAACUCAGUAUCCCAUCCCAGCCCAGCCCAGCCCAGCAGUGAGUUGCAUACUGUAUGAAUGUUGCUUACCUCUCCGACUUUAUCUAGCGCCACUAUCUCCACCUCACUGACGCAAUCUAGUCAUACUGUCUUUUCUGUUUUUAAAAGUUAUAAUCACAGUCUCUGCUUGCCCUUUAAAAAAUUUUUAUAACAUACUAGCUUCUUUCAGUGUCGGUAAUGCGCCAAGCUUUUUCCUGCUACAGAGCCUUUGUAACAUGCCAUCUAUCUGGAACGCUUCUAUCUUCCUAGGCCUAUUUAAUUCCUACUUCCUUUAGAUAGCUUCUCUACUAUCACCUCAGAGAAGUCCUUCUGGACCCACUAAUUGAGGAAAGGAGUUUUGUGGGGUGUUUUGUUUUUGUUUGUUUUGUUAAAGACUCACAAAAAACUCUGUUCCUUUUCUUCCAAGCACUAUGUCAGCAUAUGAUGAGACACUCAGGUAUAUGUUUCCUACUAGACUUCUCCCCUGCUUAAAUCUAAGUCCGUGAAAGCAGGCCCUACCACCAUACCAUCCGUAUAUAGCACAAGGCAGCUCCUCAAUAAAUGUUGAAUGUGUGAGUAAUACCUACCUUUCUAGUUCAGAGAUAGAUCCAGGAUUAGCUCAGGAUCAUAUAAGCAAUAUUUGAAGGAGCACAAUAGAAAGAGGAUUCAGAAUUAGAACAGUUACGUUCUGGCUAACUUGACCUUGAUUCUGCUUUGAGUAAGUAACUUAAGCUGUCUGAUUCAAGGGGCUUUCUAUUCAGUCAUUGUUGGGAAUGUUCUUAACAGUCCUGAGUUUGUUCAUUUCAUAGAUAUCACUUGAGUAUUUUCAUGUGUCAGGCACAGCGCUGACUUGGUUUCUGCUAUCAAAGGACACAGACACAAAUUGUAAACAAAUAAAUGCUCAAAUGAGCAUAUGGUUACAUAUGUGGUGGUGCUUUGAAAGAAUAUUACAGGGAACCUUGAGAACAUGUAACAGGCAAACCCAUCCUAGUCAGCAGAAGUGACAUUUAAGCUGAAUCAUCUAAAGAGUAGGUAAGAGUCAGGUGGGUGGAGAGAGUGCAGUUCUGGCAGAAAGAAUAGGUUGAAGAGAGAUCUGAAAGUGGGAAGAAUUUAGUAAGUUGGGGAAACUGAAAGAAGGCCAGGAGAGCUGAAGCACUGUGAGCAACGGAGAGAUUGAUAAAAAAUGAGGCUCAAAAUAUCUGUCUUAUACCAACAGCCAAUACCAUGCUCAAAGAGAAAACUCUGCAAGUAUUCACUUAAAAUAGAAGAAAACAAGCAUAGCCGCUAUUAUGUAACAUUUUUGUGGAAAUUUCAGCCUGUGCAAUAAAAUAAGAAACAGAAGGAAGCAGUAUAACUUUGGAGGAAAGAGUAAAAUUGUCGGCAGGGCGCAGUGGCUCACACCUGUAAUCCCAGCACUUUGGGAAGCCAAGGCGGGUGGAUCACCUGAGGUCAGGAGUUCGAGACCAACCUGGCCAACAUGGUGAAACCCCAUCUCUACUAAAAAUACAAAAAAUUACCCGAGCAUGGUGACAGGCUUCUGUAAUCCCAGCUACUCGGGAGGCUGAGGCAGGAGAAUCACUUGAACCCAGGAGGUGGAGGUUGCAGUGAACCAAGAUGGCACCCUUGCACUCCAUCCUAGGCAACAAGAGUGAAACUCCAUCUCAAAAAAAACCAAAAAAAGUAAAA
rnacentral:sRNA from 1 species